rnacentral:lncRNA from 1 species
CCUCUUCGAUUUUUGAGAAAGCAAUCAUGAUGGGGGUCUGACUCUCGAGAUUCGGAGAGCAGUGUCUCUUCGAUUUUUGAGGAAGUAAUCAUGUUGGGAGUCUGGCUCUCAAGAUUCGGAGGGCGGUGCCUCUUCGAUUUUGGAGCAAGCAAUCUUGUUGGGAGUGUUGUCUCGAAUGUGAGUAAAGGUUGGACAUGUUUGCUAGUCUACCUUGCCACGAAGCACAAAGGUUGACACACAGGGACUUUCCAAUUAUCCAGCAAUGGUACUGUUCCUUUACCCUCUCUUCGAUUUUGAGAAAGUAGUCAUGUUGGGAGUCUGGCUCUCGAGAUUCGGAGGACGGUGCCUCUUCGAUUUUGGAGCAAGCAAUCUUGUUGGGAGUGUUUUCUCGAAUGUGAGUAAAGGUUGGGCAUGUUUGCUAGUCUACCUUGCCACGAAGCACAGAGGUUGACACACAGGGACUUUCCAAUUAUCCGUACUGUUCCUUUACCCUUGUGGGUAAUAAUAUGGUAGCUAGACCUUCAAAAUUUAUGUGUCUAAACUUUGUUAGUGCUGUUUCUUUGCUAUUCUUUUACCUUUCUUGGUCAGAGCGAUGUAGUGGGAGCUGCAAGCUUACGUGCUCAACUUUGGCAGAGAACUUUGGCAAAGUUAUCUAUGGUACCCAUGAGUUAUUGUUGCGUGUGGGAAGUGGGUGAUUGAACAGUAAGAUUCAUGUGCUUUCUACUUCACCAGAAGUCUUCGACAAAAAUGCCCAUAAUUUCUGCAAAGCUGAGUGUGCGUGUGACAGGUGCUGACAAGGCUAGAAAAGUAGGUGCCUCUUCGAUUUCUGAGAUCGGCCCUCGUGGUCUCUGAGCAGCCCAGCUUUUGAGAAAGCGAGCGCCUCUUCAAUUGAUUCGGAGAACGAUGCCUCAUCGAUUUUUUGAGAAAGCAAUCAUGCUGGGGGUCUGGCUCUCGAGAUUCGGGGAGCAGUGUCUCUUCGAUUUUUUGAGAAAGUAAUCAUGUUGGGAGAGUGGCUCUCGAGAUUCGGAGGGCGGUGCCUCUUCGAUUUUGGAGCAAGCAAUCUUGUUGGGAGUGUUUUCUCGAAUGUGAGUAAAGGUUGGGCAUGUUUGCUAGUCUACCUUGCCACGAAGCACAGAGGUUGACACACAGGGACUUUCCAAUUAUCCAACAGUGGUACUGUUCCUUUACCCUUGUGGGUAAUAAUAUGGUAGCUAGACCUUCAAAAUUUAUGGGUCUAAACUUUGUUAGUGCUGUUUCUUUGCUAUUCUUUUACCCUUCUUGGUCAGAGCGGUGUAGUGGGAGCUGCAAGCUUCACGUGCUCAACUUUGGCAGAGAACUUUGGCAAAGUUAUCUGUUGGUACCCAUGAGCUAUUGUUGCGUGUGGACUACUUCCCCAGAAGUCUUUGACAGAAUGCCCAUAAUUUCCGCAAAGAUGAGUGUG